GCCUAUCCCAAUUAGUUUGGGAUUUACUUGUGAAUUUGAAAUAUUUUGUUUCUGGAUCCUGAAGUUUCCUUUUCCUACGGCCUCUGGGGCUGUUAUUGUUCUUUGUAUUGGAGCUGUGACCUUGAAAUUUCAUUUGAUGUUACCAAGAUCAUUCCUAAUUUCCUUUCUAUCAUCUUCCAAUGCAGAUAUCAACCUCCUAUUCCGGU
rnacentral:misc_RNA from 1 species